rnacentral:tRNA from 1 species
UUCAUUUAAGUAAAUUUUUACAUUAAGUUUAGAACUUAAAGAAUUAAAAUGAAA